GAAUAGGUGGCUCAGUUGGUUAGAGCAUGGUGCUGAUAAUGCCAAGGUCGUGCAUUCCAAUUCCUGUAUGGGCCA